GACGGAGGAUGCAAGCGUUAUCCGGAAUUAUUGGGCGUAAAGCGUCCGUAGGCGGUUUCAAAAGUCUGUUGUUAAAGCCCACAGCUCAACUGUGGAUCGGCAAUGGAAACUGUGAGACUAGAGAGUGGUAGGGGUAGAGGGAAUUCCUAGUGUAGCGGUGAAAUGCGUAGAUAUUAGGAAGAACACCAGCGGCGAAAGCGCGUGACUGGGCCAGUACUGACACUCAUGGACGAAAGCUAGGGGAGCGAAAGGG
rnacentral:rRNA from 1 species